rnacentral:rRNA from 1 species
AUUGAACGCUGGCGGCAUGCCUAACACAUGCAAGUCGAGCGAGCGGCGGACGGGUGAGUAAUGUCUGGGAAACUGCCUGAUGGAGGGGGAUAACUACUGGAAACGUUAGCUAAUACCGCAUACCAUCAGAUGUGCCCAGAUGGUAUUAGCUAGUAGGUGGGGUAACGGCUCACCUAGGCGACGAUCCCUAGCUGGUCUGAGAGGAUGACGAGCCACGCGGGAACUGAGAAACGGUCUAGAGUCCUACGGGAGGCAGCAGUGGGGAAUAUUGCACAAUGGGAGCAAGCCUGAUGCAGCCAUGCCGCGUGUGUGAAGAAGGUCUUCGGGUUGUAAAGCAUGUUCAGCGGGGAGGCGUUACCCGCAGAAGAAGCACCGGCUAACUCCGUGCCAGCAGCCGCGGUAAUAC